UGGGGCGUCGCCAAGUGGUAAGGCAACGGAUUUUGAUUCCGUCAUGCGGAGGUUCGAAUCCUCCCGCCCCAGCCA
rnacentral:tRNA from 1 species